CCUACGGGAGGCAGCAGUAAGGAAUAUUGGUCAAUGGGGGCAACCCUGAACCAGCCAUGCCGCGUGCAGGAUGAAGGCCCUAUGGGUCGUAAACUGCUUUUAUACCGGAGAAAACCACCGUACGUGUACGGUGUUGAUAGUAUGGUAAGAAUAAGCAUCGGCUAACUUCGUGCCAGCAGCCGCGGUAAGACGAAGGAUGCAAGCGUUAUCCGGAUUCAUUGGGUUUAAAGGGUGCGUAGGCGGACCUGUAAGUCAGUGGUGAAAUCUCUUUGCUUAACAAAGAAACUGCCAUUGAUACUGCAAGUCUAGAGUAUAGAUGACGUUGGCGGAAUAUGACAUGUAGUGGUGAAAUACUUAGAUAUGUCAUAGAACACCGAUUGCGAAGGCAGCUAACGAAACUAUAACUGACGCUGAGGCACGAAAGUGCGGGGAUCAAACAGGAUUAGAUACCCUGGUAGUCCGCACCGUAAACGAUGAUUACUCGUUGUUGGCAAUAUGACCGUCAGCGACCAAGCGAAAGCGAUAGUAAUCCACCUGGGGAGUACGCCGGCACGGUGAACGUCAAGGAAUUGACGG
rnacentral:rRNA from 1 species